GAUGAACGCUGGCGGCGUGCCUAAUACAUGCAAGUCGAGCGAACAGACGAGGAGCUUGCUCCUCUGACGUUAGCGGCGGACGGGUGAGUAACACGUGGAUAACCUACCUAUAAGACUGGGAUAACUUCGGGAAACCGGAGCUAAUACCGGAUAAUAUAUUGAACCGCAUGGUUCAAUAGUGAAAGACGGUGUUUCUGUCACGUAUAGAUGGUUCCGCGCCGCAUUAGCUAGUUGGUAAGGUAACGGCUUACCAAGGCGACGAUGCGUAGCCGACCUGAGAGGGUGAUCGGCCACACUGGAACUGAGACACGGUCCAGACUCCUACGGGAGGCAGCAGUCGGGAAUCUUCCGCAAUGGGCGAAAGCCUGACGGAGCAACGCCGCGUGAGUGAUGAAGGUCUUCGGAUCGUAAAACUCUGUUAUUAGGGAAGAACAAAUGUGUAAGUAACUAUGCACGUCUUGACGGUACCUAAUCAGAAAGCCACGGCUAACUACGUG
rnacentral:rRNA from 1 species